AUACAAAACCGACUGCAACAGCAAAGGACAUCCCAAGGGAAACCUGAUGUUUAGACGUGGAGAUGCACAGAAUGGCGAAGCAGGAAGGGGCACUAAAAAGCAUCUGAUUCUCUCUCUUCCCCUCACUUCCUGGUGGAGGUGCUUCAUAAACUAAUACCCUUCCCUCCAAGAAUGCUGUGCAGAAUAACUAGCUAAUAAUAAGUGACUGCCUGGCAGCGAUGUCAUAGUUUGUGAGGGUGGAGGAAAACAUAAUUACAUCACUCACAGCCCUGCCAGCCCCAGUGCCAGCCCUGUACCUUCUGGGCAGCUCUGGAUCCAUUCCAUUAUUGAACUCUUUCUGCACUUAUCACUUUUUGCCUUAUUUUUCUAAUCUUUGUGAGUUUUAUUCUCAGUACAUUUAAGUCUAUCUCCAGGAUUUCUGGCUUUAUUAAUGUUUAGAGAAUAGGUAUAUUCUUUUGUUACGUAUUUGCCUGGCAAUUACUUCGUUAAUAGUGAUUAUUCUCAAUUCCGAAGAAUUGUAACAGGAGAACGGUAAGUCCUCAGUGCUGCUUUGAAUGAUAACAUUUAUCAAAUCCAAGUAAAAUGUUAGGAAUCACAGUACCUAUUCACUGAUAGAAAAUGCCCAGAAAUUUCUCAAAUUCCUAAACAGCAUCCCUCAUACUCUUUUUAUAGUCCCAUCGACUCAGUGAAACAAAGCAAAAAAUGUGGUUUAAAAUUCUUACAAUGAAAGCUCAGAAACACAUGAAAUGCAAGCACAGUCAUAGGCAUAUAUGUGUAUCUGUGUGCAUGCUCACAUGUAUCCAUGCGUACAUUUGUUUAGCCAAAGUUUUCUAAUUUUUCUAUUAACAUGGAAUAAAUUCGUGUGCUUGGCAUAUGGGUAACUGACUUGUUUGAAAGUUAACACAAUCAUGUGCUGAUCUUCAAACUUUGUCAAUCUCGAGAACUUAAAACCUCACGCGAACCUGGACUUGCUGAUGUGGGUUAUUUAUUAAGAGGUGCUUCUUCCUUCCCACCUGUGUUUUGUAAAUCCAGUCAUGUUUAAGUAUGCGAGGGGAUAGGUAACACCGCGAUUCACUUGGAAAGGGAAUAAUAUAUUUCCCAACCCAGAUAAGAAGAUUCUGCUGUUCAAGCAAAUGCAAAUGCGUGAUGAACACACCUGCUAAAGGACUACAGCCACUGUCUUAGCCCAUGAUGGUCACACCUGCGGAGAACGGAGGGCAAAGAAUAUCUGGUCCUGUGCUGGCUUUGAGCUUCAGGAUGCAGGGAUCUGGGCAAAGGGAGUGACGAGAAGGCUACAGCAAUCCAUUCAGACGUGGGCCCCCAUGCUUUGUGGAACAACCUCGGAACAGUCUUUUUCAGCCAGCCAGGAUCAUGAGCAUGCAUGGUGUGCACAAGUCAGCGUGGGAACUGCACCCCAACCUUCUACAUGAUUUCCAGCACUGCAGAGCACUGGCCACCACUCUGUCACUGCAGGGAGCCUGAGACAUAAAGAUACAAAUCCUCAUUCACAGUUAAGGAAAGUGACACAGGAAGACACAGAAAAAAAAAAAGUAUGCCAUUAGCAUAGUUUUAGUUCUGAA